UACGGAGGGUGCAAGCGUUAAUCGGAAUUACUGGGCGUAAAGCGUGCGUAGGCGGCUACUUAAGUGGGAUGUGAAAGCCCCGGGCUUAACCUGGGAACUGCAUCCCAAACUGGGUAGCUAGAGUACGAGAGAGGAGUGUGGAAUUUCCUGUGUAGCGGUGAAAUGCGUAGAUAUAGGAAGGAACACCAGUGGCGAAGGCGACACUCUGGCUUGAUACUGACGCUGAGGUACGAAAGCGUGGGGAGCAAACAGG
rnacentral:rRNA from 1 species